UAUGGCCACAUCACAUUGAAACACCCGUUCCCAUAUGAUCACCAAAGUUAAGCAAUGUUGAGCCUGGUCAGUACCUAGAUGGGUAACUGCUUGAGAAUACUAGAUGCUGUAAG